UACGGGGGGGGGCAAGCGUUGUUCGGAAUUACUGGGCGUAAAGGGCUCGUAGGCGCCAACUAAGUCAUACGUGAAAUCCCUCGGCUUAACCGGGGAACUGCGUCUGAUACUGGAUGGCUUGAGUUCGGGAGAGGGAUGCGGAAUUCCAGGUGUAGGCGGUAGAAAUGCGUAGAUAUCUGGAGGAACACCGGUGGCGAAGGCGGCAUCCUGGACCGACACUGACGCUGAGGAGCGAAAGCCAGGGGAGCAAACGGG
rnacentral:rRNA from 1 species